UAAUAGAGUUAUUAUCAAUGUCUUAAGCAAAUUAUAAUUUAUUACGGUUUACAUUAAAUUACAUGUGUGCGUGUGCGGUGUGCCUAACACUCUUUAAUGUCGAUGUACACAUUCAAUGGCAGUAACUUGUGGUUUAAUAUGUUUUUAGAUACUAGAGUUGGCAAAUUUAUUAUCAUGGCGUCGUUUGGACAAAACCUACAAAAAUCUGAAAAGGAAGAUAGAUAUGGCUAUACGUCUAGCUGAACUCUACAAACCUUACUUGCUUUUCCAGGGCAGCUUUGAUGACGUUAAUACCGAGAGGUUGAGAAUGGCAAUUAAACAAUGCAACAUGGAUGAUGUGCUCAACUUUGAUCCAAGAUGCAUUAAAUGGGAAGAUUACUUUAUGAAUACUCAUAUCCCCGGGGUUGUAAAGCGCAUUUUCUAGGACUAAUAUACUAAAUUCAUGGGUGUUGUAUGUGCAAUAAAUACUUUUUAAAAUAGGAGUGUUUUUUCAUUAUUUUCAUUCAUGUAAAAGUUUGGCAUGAAUACAAUUAUAUAGAUCGUUGUGUCUAUGUAUGUGAUCGCUGAACAGUUAUCUCUAACAUUGUAAUUUGUAUAUCACUUGAUGGGAAUGCUAAGCCAAUUCGCUCGUGCGUAUUUCUAUA